ensembl:lncRNA PMS2P4 PMS1 homolog 2, mismatch repair system component pseudogene 4
GUGGAGGGAACUUUCCCAGGCCCCGAGGCGGAUCGGGUAUUGAGUCCAUGGAGCGAGCUGAGAGCUAGAGUACAGAACCUGCUAAGGCCAUCAAACCUAUCGAUCGGAACGAUGUCACCAUUUCUACCUGCCACGCAUCGGCGAAGGUUGGGACUCGACUGGUGUUUGAUCACGAUGGGAAAAUCAUCCAGAAAACCCCCUACCCCCACCCCAGAGGGACCACAGUCAGCGUGAAGCAGUUAUUUUCUACACUACCUGUGCACCAUAAGGAAUUUCAAAGGAAUAUUAAGAAGACGUGCCUGUUUCCCCUUCGCCUUCUGCCGUGAUUGUCAGUUUCCUGAGGCCUCCCCAGCCAUGCUUCCUGUACAGCCUGCAGAACUGUGAGUCAAUUAAACCUCUUUUCUUCAUAAA